AAAAUGACAAACCCUGGUUUCCGUGCCCAACGUUUGACCAUCCGUCUUAUUUGAAAAAAUUAUGAAAAAAAUUAAAAAGACAAGUCACGCAUAAAAUAUUAAUCAUGUUUUAUCAUCUAACAACAAUAAAAAUACGAAUUAUAAAAAAAUUUCAUAUAAGACGAACAGUCAAAGUUGGACACGGAAACCCAGGUUUGCCUUUUUU
rnacentral:pre_miRNA from 1 species